GAUCCUGGCUCAGGAUGAACGCUGGCGGCGUGCCUAACACAUGCAAGUCGAGCGAGACGGCGAGUGGUGCUUGCACCAGUUGCCUGACAGCGGCGGACGGGUGAGUAACGCGUAGGUAACCUACCUUAUGCACAGGGAUAGCCUCGGGAAACUGGGAUUAAUACCUGAUAAAGCGGUGAGAUCACAUGGUUUUAUCGCCAAAGAUUUAUCGGCGUAAGAUGGACCUGCGUCUGAUUAGCUUGUUGGUGAGGUAACGGCCCACCAAGGCGACGAUCAGUAGCCGACCUGAGAGGGUAAUCGGCCACAUUGGAACUGAGACACGGUCCAAACUCCUACGGGAGGCAGCAGUGGGGAAUAUUGCACAAUGGGCGCAAGCCUGAUGCAGCAACGCCGCGUGAGUGAAGAAGGUCUUCGGAUCGUAAAGCUCUGUCCUCAGGGACGAAGAAGUGACGGUACCUGAGGAGGAAGCCCCGGCUAACUACGUGCC
rnacentral:rRNA from 1 species